AUUGAACGCUGGCGGCAGGCCUAACACAUGCAAGUCGAACGGAGUGGCGGACGGGUGAGUAAUGUCUGGGAAACUGCCUGAUGGAGGGGGAUAACUACUGGAAACGGUAGCUAAUACCGCAUACUCUCAGAUGAGCCCAGGUCGGAUUAGAUAGUUGGUGGGGUAAAGGCCUACCAAGGCGACGCUCCGUAACUGGUCUGAGAGGCUGGUCAGUCACACUGGACGUGAGACACGGUCCAGAUGCCUACGGGAGGCAGCAGUGGGGAAUAUUGGGCAAUGGGCGAAAGCCUGAUGCAGCCAUGCCGCGUGUGGGAAGAAGGUCUUCGGAGUGGAAAGCACUUUAAGUUGGGAGUCGUUACCAACAGAAGAAGCACCGGCUAACUUCGUGCCAGCAGCCGCGGUAAUAC
rnacentral:rRNA from 1 species